UACGGGGGGGGCAAGCGUUGUUCGGAAUUACUGGGCGUAAAGGGCGUGUAGGCGGCCAACUAAGUCCGACGUGAAAUCCCCAGGCUUAACCUGGGAACUGCGUCGGAUACUGGAUGGCUUGAAUCCGGGAGAGGGAUGCAGAAUUCCAGGUGUAGCGGUGAAAUGCGUAGAUAUCUGGAGGAACACCGGUGGCGAAGGCGGCAUCCUGGACCGGCAUUGACGCUGAGGCGCGAAAGCGUGGGGAGCGAACAGG
rnacentral:rRNA from 1 species